rnacentral:rRNA from 1 species
GACAGAGGGUGCAAACGUUGUUCGGAAUUACUGGGCGUAAAGCGCACGUAGGCGACAUUGCAAGUCGGAUGUGAAAUCCCUCGGCUUAACCAAGGAAGUGCAUCCGAAACUGCAGUGCUUGAGUACUUAAGAGGAUCGCGGAAUUCCCGGUGUAGAGGUGAAAUUCGUAGAUAUCGGGAGGAACACCAGUGGCGAAGGCGGCGAUCUGGGAAGAUACUGACGCUGAGGUGCGAAAGCGUGGGGAGCAAACAGG